rnacentral:rRNA from 1 species
AUUGAACGCUGGCGGCAGGCCUAACACAUGCAAGUCGAGCGGCAGCGGAAAGUAGCUUGCUACUUUGCCGGCGAGCGGCGGACGGGUGAGUAAUGUCUGGGAAACUGCCUGAUGGAGGGGGAUAACUACUGGAAACGGUAGCUAAUACCGCAUGACCUCGAAAGAGCAAAGUGGGGGACCUUCGGACCUCACGCCAUCGGAUGUGCCCAGAUGGGAUUAGCUAGUAGGUGAGGUAAUGGCUCACCUAGGCGACGAUCCCUAGCUGGUCUGAGAGGAUGACCAGCCACACUGGAACUGAGACACGGUCCAGACUCCUACGGGAGGCAGCAGUGGGGAAUAUUGCACAAUGGGCGCAAGCCUGAUGCAGCCAUGCCGCGUGUGUGAAGAAGGCCUUAGGGUUGUAAAGCACUUUCAGCGAGGAGGAAGGCACCAUACUUAAUACGUGUGGUGAUUGACGUUACUCGCAGAAGAAGCACCGGCUAACUCCGUGCCAGCAGCCGCGGUAAUACGGAGGGUGCAAGCGUUAAUCGGAAUUACUGGGCGUAAAGCGCACGCAGGCGGUUUGUUAAGUCAGAUGUGAAAUCCCCGCGCUUAACGUGGGAACUGCAUUUGAAACUGGCAAGCUAGAGUCUUGUAGAGGGGGGUAGAAUUCCAGGUGUAGCGGUGAAAUGCGUAGAGAUCUGGAGGAAUACCGGUGGCGAAGGCGGCCCCCUGGACAAAGACUGACGCUCAGGUGCGAAAGCGUGGGGAGCAAACAGG